rnacentral:rRNA from 1 species
GAUGAACGCUGGCGGCGUGCCUAAUACAUGCAAGUCGAGCGAAUGGAUUGAGAGCUUGCUCUUAUGAAGUUAGCGGCGGACGGGUGAGUAACACGUGGGUAACCUGCCCAUAAGACUGGGAUAACUCCGGGAAACCGGGGCUAAUACCGGAUAACAUUUUGAACCGCAUGGUUCGAAAUUGAAAGGCGGCUUCGGCUGUCACUUAUGGAUGGACCCGCGUCGCAUUAGCUAGUUGGUGAGGUAACGGCUCACCAAGGCAACGAUGCGUAGCCGACCUGAGAGGGUGAUCGGCCACACUGGGACUGAGACACGGCCCAGACUCCUACGGGAGGCAGCAGUAGGGAAUCUUCCGCAAUGGACGAAAGUCUGACGGAGCAACGCCGCGUGAGUGAUGAAGGCUUUCGGGUCGUAAAACUCUGUUGUUAGGGGAGGACAAGUGCUAGUUGAAUAAGCUGGCACCUUGACGGUACCUAACCAGAAAGCCACGGCUAACUACGUGCCAGCAGCCGCCGUAA